ACAUUGCCAGAAAACAGGAGGAAGAGCAGGUCUGGAGUAAGGCUGGGGGACUCAAGCGCCAAUGUGAAGCUGAAGAGCGUCCUGGAGACGGGGGGCGGUGAGACGGAAUCUGCCCAGGCCACGCCAGUGGCUGGGGUUUGGCCCUGGGCCUGGGGAGGGUCGCUGUUUGAGAGGAGGACGCAGCUUUAUAAAAUGACUCCGCUGUCGUAAAGAUUAAAUGGGACCCUAUAUGCUUUUAGCAUGGUGCCUGGCACAGGGCACUGUACUAGGCACUGGGGAUACAGCAGGGAGCAAAACAGUGAAAACCCCUGUCCUCAAGGAGCUUCUAUGCUGGAUUCCACAGCCACACCCUCAAGUCUUUGCUGUCAGCCCUCCUCUCCCUUAGUCUGCACCUUCCCCUGAGCCUCUGCCUCAGCCUCCUCCUGGGCUCAGGAUUCCCUGAAUUUCCCUCUCCUCACACAUCCUCUAAGCUCCAGAUGCACUUUUCCAGUCACUUGCAAUGGGGUGACCUGCAGACACUCAAACCUGGCACAUCUGAACAGUAACUCACAAUGCCCAACCCCUUCUCAAACCUGCUAUUCCCAGUGGGUUCCCUGAGAAGCCACUGUCCAGACCCUUCUUCCUCCAACAUGCAGCUCUUCUAUCGUCAUCGCCAACACGAAUAGAGCACUUAGUGCAGGCACCAUGCUGAAAGCUUUUAUUUAUUAAAUCAUGGAAUCCCCUGACGUCCCUAAAAACCAUUCCACUUGUUUGCAGAUAAGAAAACUGAGGCGGAAAUCAUUAAACAGCCUCAGGUUACACAGUUAGGCAGAGCCCAGACGAAGAGCCCAGGCUGUCUGGCCUCAGUUGUGCUUUUCCUGAUGCUGUGCUGUCCCGCCUCGGGUCCCAUGGGCUUGCCUCAGCUGUACCACUCACCUCAGGCCCCUCCUGGGCCGCAUCCAGCUCUGCCCUGGGCUGUUGAAGAGUCUGCUCACUGGUAUCUCUAAUUCCCUCUGGCUUCGCCACAGACCCUGCUGCCAGGGCUGCCUAUGAUCCCCUCCCUCACAGGCAGGAUCACUUCCCCAUCGCCAUCACACCCCUGCACCCCUGCGAUUUCCCAUUGUUUACAGGCAGCCUGGCCCUGUUCCAGACCAACUUCCCCAGUCCCAUAUAACCUCUCCAAGACCCUUCUUCCCCCUACUCAUUCCCCGCGUGUUACAGCCAGGCAGGCUAUCCACCCCAAUGCUUUCCUAACUCCCGUGGUUUCCUCACCCCGUCUACCUUUACUGAGCUCUGUAUCCUUUAAUACCCAGCCUCAAAGGCCGUCUCUGCUGCAAAGCCCUGCCUGGUCCCCUGCCAGACUCCUCUGGCUCUCUCUGCUGUGCCCCCACGGGUCUUCACCUCUGGCUGGGUUGACUUCAUACCACCUGGGAUUAUUGUUUGUUAUCUGUGUCCAUCUGUGUCCUCCAGUAACCCAUGAUCUUCACAGGCCAGUGCCCUGUGUUAGUCAUCUCUGGGUCCCCGUGACUGAUGGAGCUGGGUGCAGUGCGAGCCUCAGUACUGAAAUGAACAGGGCCGGCCUACGAGGUCACUCCGCGAUUUGGGGCAGGAAAGAUCUGAGUUUCUUUCUGCACUCCCAUCGAGUCCUGCUGUAGAAACCACAAAUGGGGAAUGAUCGUUGAAUCCCAGAGGGCUGAGCAGGAAGGGCCGCUGCAGGUCAUCUGUGUUAAUUCUUUAUCUUUGAAAUGUUGGAGUGAGGCCCAGAAAUGAGAAAGACCUAGCCCACGAUCACUCCGCAGGGAGGAGUUGUGGUUAGAAUUCAGACCCCUGGCUUCUAGCCCAGUGUACUUUCUGCUUUGCUGAACCAUUCCAUCUUUUCUUUGCUUUUUCUCUACACAAACUAACUACUACAAUAACAACGAUUGCUUAUGCUGAAAAUCAGCCCAGUCUCAUAGCUCUGGAACCUCUCUUUGUCCCCUUCCAGAUAACCACAGGACACUUUAUUUUACACUUUUGUCAUAAUGAUUUUACACCCUCAUUUUU